AAAGUGAAAACAUUAAAAAAUCCACAAUAAAAAGACAUUGCUAUUUCUCUGUUUUCUUUGAAAAGAAUAUAGCCAAAGAUACCUGUUCAGUAAUGAGUCAUUUCAGUCAGAGUGAUUGUACCGGUUGCUCAUUCACUCAGUGGUUGUGUAAGGGUUGUGAGUAGAGAUUGCAUUUUGUGUGACUAUCUUCCAGGACCUGAUUUUUGUCGGUAUGCUCAUCCUUUCCCCCACUUCCUGGGAACUCAGAUCCCCUCACUUUUAGGGCAACCUAUACUUACUCUGUCUUGCGGGAGAUGCCAUAGCCUCUCCCUGUGAGCCUGUUUUUCCAACUUCACUCAUACGAGACAUUUUCCUACCAGAUUUCUUCUCAAGAUCUAGGCCCAUUUUUUUGCUCCUUGCUCAGAAGUUAUUAAUAUACAUACCUUUGGCUCCACUAUAUAAUAUUGCUUUGUCCCAAGUCAGCCCAUACUCUGUCGAGGAAGGAUUCCCUAAUUUAAGAACUCAGAUCCACUAAACCAUCCAGCUCUGCUUUUAAUGGCCCUGUGGGAACAGGUUAAAUGCUUUUGCUAACAUAGUUGUCAAGAAAUCAUGUUUGGAACCUAGACUAAGAAACAGGCAUCAAGAUCUACAGCUGGGGUCCUGUACCUCCAGACCAAGAUCAGCAGAGCCAAAAAGUUCAACAUCUCAUCAAGGGUCCACCAGUCUUCCAGUUUUUAAAUGAUUCUGAGAAAGAUAAAUAGAUUUGGAGAACUGCCUGGACACUACUCUUAGAUAACUACAUCAGCCCCUUUUUAUUAUUUAUAUCAGAUAGAUAUAAAUAUAAAUGAAUCUCAAGCAAGCAAGGGAAAUAUUAUCUCAAGUUCACUGGAAAGGGCUCAGGCUGUGGAGUUACUGGGGGAUGCUGGACCAGAGAUGAGCUCUCUCAGAGGCCAGUGACCAGGCCAGGCCACAAGAGCCAUCUGACCUAUGCAAGACAGUACAAAGACGCUUGGGGGACACUAAAGAGCUAUCCCCCUUACGGCAUGACUUACUCAGAGGACAUAAUCCAGACAGAUUUACAUGAGCAGUUCAUGCCAGUGGAGAACCUCAGUACAAAAAAAUUUGGUUUUGCCUAUAGUCUUUAUUGAUACAUCUCAGUUAGCACUUCCUUCUGACUUGGUACUACUAACAUGUUCACAAGUGUCCCUACGCUACUAGCUUCCACCUACAAGUUAUUAUCUUCCAAAUUUUAACCAAUUAUUCCAAAUCAGAAUCUUUAUUCUAGAAAAACUUUUAAGAUGUUUAUGCCAUUUUUUUUUUAAGCCUGGCACAAUAAUACCAGAUCUGCAUCUAGAACAGUGACAUGCAGUUGGCAGGGCCCAAGCCCUGGACUUGAUGGUCCAAAGAGCACAGAGGCCUCAACAAAAGCAUCCACUGUCAUAAUGCUUUGUAUAUGCCCUUCCCAUCUUUCUCCAUGCACAUAUAUUUCUGUAUGUGUGGCACUGUUAUCUGUAAAUUAAAAGACUGGCAGCAACCUCAAUGUCCAAGGUUAGGGAAAUUUUCAUCUAUUCUCUAUUACAGCCAAUUGCUGGGAUAUUUUGCAGCUAUUUUAAUGAUCUUUAUAAUAUUAUGUAGUAAUGCAGGAAAAGAAUUCAAAUGUACAUUUAAGUGAAAAGGUAAAGAUACAAAAUUAUUUGUAUGCUUUAACAACUUAUAUAAAAAUAAAUGUACAUAGUGGGAAGGGAGACCAGAAGAACAUUUGCAAACCCGAUUAAUGGCUCAUGUUCUGGGGUAGUUGAUUAUGGGUAAUUUCCUUCUUAUUUUUAUUUAUUUAUUUUUUUUGCUUUUUAGAGCUGCAUCUGCAGCAUAUGGAAGUUCCCAGGCUAGGGGUCGAAUCAGAGCUACAGCUGCCAGCCUAUGCCAUAGCCCCAGCAAUGCAGGAUCCAAGCCAAGUCUGUGACCUACACCACAGCUCAUGGCAACACCAGAUCCCUGACCCACUAAGCAAGGCCAGGGAUCCAACCCCCAUCCUCAUGGAUACUAGCUGGAUUCGUUUCCACUAGGCAGCAUUGAGAACUCUGUAAUUUCCUUCUUACUUUUAAGUUUCUCUAGCAUUGCUACAUUGUUUUUACACAAAAUUAAGUAUAUUAUACAUAUACACAUGCAUGCUUCUUCUAAGACAAAGUUUAGGACUUUGCCAGGUCUUGGAUUUUAAUAUUACCACUUAGAAAAUAUAACUAAUAAAAGUUCUUAUUCAAAUGGGUUUAACGUGAGGGAAUCUAUUGGGAUAUAUCAUCAGAAAGUUCAGAGGUUGGACCAUCCCUCAGGGUGAACUGUUCCAGAGAUUCGUGGGGUCCUCAGUGCUGGGGUUCCAUUUCUCUUGACUCUGCCUUGCUGCAUAGACCAGCCUUUUUGUCACACUUCUUCCCUCCUGACAGAAUAGCAGCAGCAGCUCUAUAUUGAGAAAGAGCAAGGUCAACUCUUCCCCAAACCAUCAAACAGAAGUCUUUGCUUCACUCUGAUUGGACCAGUGUGGACCAGGGGACUGCUACAUGGGCUUAAGGUUAAAUUAUGCCCAGUGUACACCAAUCUGCAGUAAGCUAGUUACAGUUCACAAAUAUUUGCUGCCUUUACCUGUGAGAGGAUUAUAUGUCCCCACCUCACUGAUGUUAUAUUUGGCCAUAACUUGCUCUGGACAUGGAAAUAUAAAAUAUCAGUAUUCAAAACCAAGACGUGACAUAGCUGUUUAACGCUGCCGCUGGUUGCACUGAAACCAUUUUGUUCCUCUGCCAAGUAGAAGCGUUCAGAGCUAGUGUGUGGUUUGCAGCACUAUUCCCCCCUCCCCUACCACUGCUGGCAAGAUUCCAAACAGAGGCUUCACUACCAGCUGGGGUUAGAGAAUGAAGACAAAACACAGUAGAGCCACAGACAAACCAAGGUGCACAUGUAGUAUGAGCUGCACCUUUGUUAUUAGCUGUGAGACUUGGGGGUUUUUUGUUACUGAAUAUAACCUAGCCUUUCCUGACUGGGCUUGGGUCCUGGCUUGGCCAUUUCCAAGUUAUGUAACCUUGCACAAGUUGUUUCAUUUAUCUAUACUUAUUUUCUUUAUUGUAAAAUUCCUGGUACAAACUCAGAAGUUACAGCUGUUAUUUGUUGCUAAUAAGAAUUAUAAUUCUUGGAGUUUCUGUAGUGGCUCAGCAGCAAUGAACCUGACUAGCAUCCAUGAGGAUGUGGGUUUGAUACCUGAUCUUGUUCAGUGGUUUAAGGAUCCAUUGUUGCUGUGAGCUGUGGUGUGGGUCACAGACGUGACUCGGAUCCAGUGGUUUUGUGACGGUGACAUAGACUAGCAGCUAUAGCUCGGAUUCCACCCCUAGCUUGGGAAUUUCCAUAUGCCACACCAGUGUGGCCCUAGGAAAAAAAAAUUAUAAUUCUUACUCUCAUGGGGGAUUUUCCUCUAAUUUACCUCAGUGAUUUGCAGUGGGGGAAAAAGUGCAGCUAUCUGAAAGUGGAGGUAUAUUAUAUUUCUUUGCCUUUGUAAAACAAAGGCAAACUUACAGACCCAAAGUCUCAAUAUAUAUACUGAUCAUGGUAGAUAGAAUAAGAAAUUCUUCCUCAAGAUAUAAAUAUUAGUUCCUUGGAAUUCUCUUAUUUUUUUUUUUUAGGAAUAAAAAAAGAUUAACCCAAAAUUUCAUAUGGGAAAAAUGCUUUUCACAUUCAAUACCAAAAUGUGAUAAAACUAUUCAGCAGUACAAUUGGCUUCACUGAAGUAAUUUUGUUCCUUCUUUGAGUUAUCUAUUAUUGAAGAUAGUCAGGCAACAGAUAUUGAAAUAAAUGAUUUUUUUAUUCCAUUGUGAAAACUCUUGUGUUCCCAGCACCCCUUUCCACAAAGUGAUGUAUUCUUUUGUGUGUAUGAGAGGGAGAUUAUAGUCAGAGGAAUGCAAUUUAGAAGUAAAAUUUCCACUUUUCUUUUUUUAAUUGAGAUUGCAAUUAUAUCUCGAUUUGAAUCUAAGUUGACUUGAUUUUGUAAUCAAUAAUUAUUUUACAUUAUAGAACACAUUUUCUAUCUCAGACAUCCAUCACUGACAUCUGAUAUCUGGUACUUUUUUUUCAGAUAAUGUAGAUUUUAUCUUGCUUAGUUUUCUGGGACCUGGUAAUUAAGAUAUGAGACAAUUAUUUGUCCCUUUAGAUUAAAAAUAUGUUC
rnacentral:lncRNA from 1 species